rnacentral:rRNA from 1 species
UACGAAGGGGGCUAGCGUUGUUCGGAAUUACUGGGCGUAAAGCGCACGUAGGCGGACUAUUAAGUCAGGGGUGAAAUCCCGGGGCUCAACCCCGGAACUGCCUUUGAUACUGGUAGUCUCGAGUCCGGAAGAGGUGAGUGGAAUUCCGAGUGUAGAGGUGAAAUGCGCAGAUAUCGGGAAGAACACCCGUGGCGAAGGCGGUUCUCUGGGACGGUACUGACGCUGAGACGCGAAAGCGUGGGGAGCGAACAGG